rnacentral:lncRNA from 1 species
CAAGGAAAUACUGUUCAACUCUUUCUAUAUAUGCAGUCCAAUCGUCGCGUGUUUCAUAAUCAAUUGAAACUGAACCCAUAAUCAAUUGUUUAUAAUCCUCGUCGCCAAUGUAGUGUUUUUCGAUAUUGAUUGUGUUUUUAAUAUCAUGUCCAAAACAACUGUCAUGCCUCGUGGUGAUGACCCUAAAGCAUCAUAGGUCAUGCACCACAGUAAGUGUGACAUAUCUAGCGUAAAACAUUCGCGAUACCUAUCUUUAUUGACGGAUUGCCCCUGUAUAACCUCUCAAAUAACCAAUUGUGCUCUGCCGAAAUUUGUAAACACAAACAAUGAUUAAGAAUGCUAUAUGACAUAAAAAAUUAUAUUCAUAUUCUGUUAAUUAUUAACUUUGAGAAUUUUAAUGAAACUUAAUUGUUUUAAAAUGUUAUUAGAUCUUCUGUGAACGAAAUGGAGCUGAAAUACUUCGUUCGCAGAGCAUUCUAUCCCCUGUACUUGAUAUACAAUGAUGUUAUGGCAUAUGGGGCCCAGACAAUCACUUUCAGACGUUGUUGCAUUGGGACACAUGUAGUUUUAUGAUUGUAAGUGGAUCAUUACAGUAUUUUACACACGAUACCACUCCUCUCCUCUAAGGUGACACUGACCCCUCGUCCUGUUUUUCAAGGUGACUUUUCCAAUUUAUUUAAUUCCGAGUAGAAAUGUCUGGGAAAAUUUAUGUCUUCGAUGUACUUUAUAAUCAUUGGAAUUCUGCAAGAUUUCACCCCCAAAAUGCUUGAAAUCGCAUUUCAGGGACUCUAGAUUUCAAAAUGUUUCCUGGGGGUCAUGCCCCCGAACCCCCCUAGACGGUCUCACGCUCUCACGCCUUCGGCGUUCGCUUCGCCCACCAAAAAUUAAGGUCUGACUACGCCACUGCUAGCUAUACAUGACAUGCACAAACCGUAGGUUUCACCAGGGCGUAAUAAAACACACUGUGUUUUACAGCGCCCUGGUUUCACAUAUUUCACGGCAUGGUUUUCUUUCAAGACCCUGGCUGUAUGUACAUCAUCUAACUGCACCUACAUAAGUAUACAUAUACUUAAAUACUAUAAGGAACCCAGUUUGCAAUAUUGCACGGCAUGGUCUACUUUCCAGACCCUGUGAAGAUAUAAGAAAACCAUUUACUAAAUGAGAUACAGGAAAAUUACACAACACAAAAUCACAAGCGACUGUGCAGGUCUUAUCACCAUUCACCAAUGCCUAAUUUGCAAAAUCGCGGCAUGGUUAAAUCCGAUCCUGUGAUAAAUAUGCAUCAUCAAAUCGCACCUAUCCAUUACCAAGUAAUAACUUUACAUACAGUACAUGCUAGCUUCAAUUACGAUAUUUCUCCAAUGGAUUGACAUACAAAAGAUACAAAACAGCGCGCGCAUUAUACGCGUGCACCUAAUAAUAAUACAAUAUUUCACGGCAUGGUCCACUUUCCAGACCCCAUUGAAAAUAUAAGAAACCAUCAAAUUAAUAAUGCUUAUAAGUAUAAACCACUAACCAAAGGUCCAAGACGCAUGUAGAGGUUCUAUUACCUAUCCCAAAAUUAAAAUACUAAACUUUAAAGUUAAUAUUAUUACUCCAUUCAGGUUUGCUGGUUUUUCUUUCAUUUCGCAGAUCCACAAGAAGUCGUUUCAUGAAGACAUGGGUGGCUUUGAUCAUGUUCAGGAAUUAAUUUGGUGCAGUUCAUGUGAUUCGCUGUUUACGUUGGCGUGAAUUUGAGGAUCGAUCGAUAAGCGUCUUAGCACACCAUUCAGCGAUCCUACAGGCUGUAGAGCUCCAUUAUCCCAUAUGACCUAUCGCUAACAGAAGUGUGGGCUGAAGUAUACUUCCAUUCUAAGUACUUCUGGAGUUUACCAUCUUUUGCCAACGAUGUUGUUGCGCGGAAUGGAACCACUGUUCAUUAUUUGGAAUAAAAAACUGGGUUGAGUGGGUUCAAUGUGGUUCACAAAAGUCGCCAAACGAGUUGGAAUGUCAGAAAUGUUUACUGUUGAUGGAUGUCGUAACGAUCUUAGUAAAUCCUGAGGACCCUCGCUCUAACGACAAAGAUAAUUGUAUAAAAUAAUGUUAUGUGGACAGGCACCGGAUGCCCAAUCACCUAAAAAACAGCAUCAGCAAAUCGUCAUUUUCAUAAUUUCACUAACUAAUCUCUCCAAAAUACUACAAAUGGAGACCACGCAAUAAUAAGGCAUGCAUACAAACACUUGUCAUUUUCUCAGUGUAUGUAGUUUGUUUAAUUAUUAUUAAAGAAAGAAAAAUACUUUAAAAUAAAGUUGGUUAAGUGGGUUAUUGAAUUGCACACUGAUUAACAUCGAG